rnacentral:sRNA from 1 species
CCGCGGGUGUGUGAAGGGAGACAGUGUGGAGGCCACAGGGUACUCGCCACGAUGAGCAGCACCUUAGCUAAGAUCGCGGAGAUAGAAGCAGAGGUUUUGAUGUGGCCAAGACAGGUGAUGCUCGAAUUGGAUUUGUUGGUUUUCCAUCUGUGGGGAAGUCAACACUGCUUAGUAACCUGGCAGGGGUAUAUUCUGAGGUGGCAGCCUAUGAAUUCACUACUCUGACCACUGUGCCUGGUGUCAUCAGAUACAAAGGUGCCAAGAUCCAGCUCCUGGAUCUCCCAGGUAUCAUUGAAGGUGCCAAGGAUGGGAAAGGUA